rnacentral:rRNA from 1 species
CAAUAAGCGGAGGAAAAGAAACUAGCAAGGAUUCCCCCAGUAACGGCGAGUGAAGAGGGAACAGCCCAAAUUUGUAAUCUGGCCCUUUUGGGGUCCGAGUUGUAAUCUCGAGAACUGUUUUCCGUGCCGGACCAUGUACAAGUCUGUUGGAAUAUAGCUUCAUAGAGGGUGAGAAUCCCGUACAUGACAUGGACCACCGGUGCUUUGCGAUACAGUCUCUAAGAGUCGAGUUGUUUGGGAAUGCAGCUCAAAUUGGGUGGUAAAUUCCAUCUAAGGCUAAAUAUUGGCGAGAGACCGAUAGCGAACAAGUACCGUGAGGGAAAGAUGAAAAGCACUUUGGAAAGAGAGUUAACAGUACGUGAAAUUGUUAAAAGGGAAACGCUUGAAGUCAGCCUUGUUCUUGGUUGUUCAGCCUUAGGGCGUAUUCAACUUUGAGCAGGCCAGCAUCAGUUUUGGGUGCCGGAUAAGGGCUUAGGAAAUGUGGCAGCUUAGGCUGUGUUAUAGUCCUUUGCUUGAUAUGGUGCCUGGGACUGAGGAACGCAGCGAGCCUUUUGGCGGGUCCCCUCGGGGGCCUUCUCGCUUUGGAUGCUGGCGUAAUGGCUUUAAACGACCCGUCUUGAAACAC